rnacentral:rRNA from 1 species
GAUGAACGCUGGCGGCGUGCCUAAUACAUGCAAGUCGAGCGAACAGACGAGGAGCUUGCUCCUUUGACGUUAGCGGCGGACGGGUGAGUAACACGUGGAUAACCUACCUAUAAGACUGGGAUAACCUCGGGAAACCGGAGCUAACACCGGAUAAUAUUUCGAACCGCAGGGUUCGAUAGUGAAAGAUGGCUGUGCUAUCACUUAUAGAUGGACCUGCGCCGUAUUAGCUAGUUGGUAAGGUAACGGCUUACCAAGGCAACGAUACGUAGCCGACGUGAGAGGGUGGUCGGCCACACUGGAACUGAGACACGGUCCAGGCUCCUACGGGAGGCAGCAGUAGGGAAUCUUCCGCAGUGGGCGAAAGUCUGACGGAGCAACGCCGCGUGAGUGAUGACGGCCUUCGGAUCGUAAAACUCUGUUAUUAGGGAAGAACCACCGUGUAAGUAGCUGUGCAGGUCUUGACGGUAACUAAUCAGAAAGCAACGGCUAACUACGUG